rnacentral:lncRNA from 1 species
AUCCGGACACCCCGGAUAUCCUAUUUUCGAAGCAGAUCCGGAGCAGAUCUCGGAUCGAAUAUGGAUCUCGGAUAGUAUGUCCCAGGCCUAUGUGACAUAUCCUAUUAUUACAAACAAAUGAUAAAAUUUAUUUUCAGAAUUUAUGCACAAUAUGUUAGUGUCAUACUAUCUGAGAUGUGUUUCUACUUUCGUAAUAAAUAAAACAAACUAUUUUACCUUCAGCCUACAGUGAACACAACACACGCUCCUCAUACUCUAGCAUAUCUAUUUUCAUAACCAAUAGUUUGUAACUUUGUUUCUAACUUUGGACGACAGCAAAAAAAACACAUCACACGAACACUCCUACAUUUAAUAAAAUCAAAUACAUAGGCACUUAAUCUAGACAAUGGACCUUCUAAUCUUUUCUUUGCCAACAAUGGACCUGCUAAUCAUACGGAGAAAAUGCUACACACAGUCGUUAACAAAAAAUUAUCAAUACAUAUUUUGAAAUUUUAUAAUAAGUCCAAUCAUAUAAUUUUUAAAAUGAAUAUUAAAAAAUAGUACUUAUGUAAGUAAAUAUUAUUUUUAGUUAAAAUAAAUUAAAUAUUAUAAAAUACAAUUAUAUUAUUAGUUUAUUUAUUCACCCGCCCUU